rnacentral:lncRNA from 1 species
GUCAUCUUCCCCUCUAAGAAAUUAAAAAAAAAACUUUAAAAAUUAUUUAUGCAAGUUUGAGUAGAAAUUUAUAGGGGGCAAACUGGCAGAAGACAAAUGUUAAUAAACAUUUGUUAUUGCUACAGUGAGCUUGGUUUUUCUUUCUCUCUCUUAGCCGUAUGUAAUUUAUUUCUAUCGACAAAACGACGCAGUGAUUAAAACUAACUCUACACACAGGCUUACACUGUCUAUCAAUAUUUCACUUUCACUGUCUUUCUCUCUCUCUCUCUCUCUCUCACACACACACACAUUGAUAUUCAGACUUUCUGUCCCUCUCGCACAUGCUCUGUAUUUCUCUCUCUCUCUCUUUCUCUCUCUCUCGAACACACAUACUAUCUCUUUCUCACUCCCAUACAUUGCCACUUACCGAUUUCUCUCUCUCUUUCACAAACAUAACACGAACUCACCAUACUAUACAGACUUUUACACACAACAUAUAGAAACCAAAGGGAAACAUAAUGCGGUCUGCGACGGAGUAAAAGCAACAAGAAGCAAUGAGUUCUCCCUGUGUGUGUACUUAAAAUGGCUGACUUGACGGAGAAAUGUUAAUUUUGAGAAACAGGUAGGCAUCUUUAUUUUUGCCGCUCUCUGUGUUGAUGUCAUAUGUUGUUAAUGGCCGGGUAGGUGUGUCUGUGUAUAAUAUCUGCGUUUAUCUGUCUAUGCGUGUGUGUGUGUGUGUUGAGUAUGUGUUUUCCUCUGUGUUAAUAGUGCAUUUGAUAUAUUAUCUAAACGUCAUUGUUGAUUGUUAGCGACGAAUGAAUGAGUGAAUGAAUGGAAGAAUAAAAAAAAAAAAAAAAUAGAGGAAGUUGGUACAUCCCGAAUCUUGACGACCACGACAACGUAAACACACAUAAACACGGCAACACUAUCUCACCCGUUGCACUCUGACAGCUCGACACCCCACCCCCCUCUGCUCAACACAUUUUCUUUCUUGAAUAUCGUGGAUUUGAAACUGCGGUUAUUGAAAAUCAUGUUAUGUCGAGCCAGUUCACACACACACACAUAUAUGCAUACGUGUGUAUAUAUAUAUAUAUAUAUAUAUAUAUAUGUAUGUGUGUGUGUGUGUAAAUAUGCAUAUAGACAUACGUACACUGGCAGAAUAUGAGCUAAGUUUGCUAUUCCGUGUAUUUUUAACAGGGAAUUAAAAUAAAACUAUGUCAGCAAAGGGAUAGACAGCUAAUAUAAUAAUGUACGGUCCUCAAAUUACUGACAUUAAAAUAGUUGAAAAGCGUUUUGUUUAUAAUUAUAUAUGUAUUCCCAAAGCACCAAUUAGUUAUGUGAAAAGUGUAUAUUCAUUCGUUGACGUGGUUUUUAAUUUCCUCGGUCAAAAUAUACGAUUAACCUAUUAUUUAAACGUUUCUUCCUUUAUUUCUUCUUUUCAUCAUACAUCGAACAACGUUGCUUUUGUUUAUUAAUUGUCGUCGUCAUCAUCAUCGUUGUUCGUCGUCUUCCGUGUUUUAUCCUUGUCAUCUUUUUUAUUUUUAUAUUGUAUGCAUCUAUUUUUUCUCUAAUACGUAACCACCUCCGUUUUUGUUUAUAUAAAGUCUACUCUGAAUACUUGUAACUUUACCACUUUAUCAGACUCUUCAUAAAACAACUUAAUGGCCGAAGAAGACUAGCGUAAUAGACACACCACACCACACAUACAUACACCCUUGCGGGUGCUGUGUACACACCUACAUUUUUAUAAUCGACUUCAGCUAAUAUAUAUACUUACAUAUAUAGAUAGCAAUUAUAUGUAUUGUGUAUACACAACCAUAGACUCGAAGGCGCAUGCACACAUUACAGGCAAACAUGGUUAUUCUCAUAAAGUACAUAGAAACAUUACAUACUAUUCACUUACUAGAAUGAAAUAGCAACAGCUGAUAAACUGAACACUUAAACCAUGUGCUUGUUUAUACAUCUAUAACACUCUCCCUCCUUCAAGAAUAUAGUUUAUAUAUAUGUAUACACACACACACGUGCAUGUAUUUCUUCCUCUGUAUUUAAGUUUUUCCUCUACGUUUCUCUUUUCUUCGUUCUCUCUGUAUACUAAGUGUGUGCGAGUGCGAGUUUCUCUCUCUCUUUCUACGUAGCUUCCUGUGUCCGAAUAUCGGUAACGUAAAACUCGGAGUAACGCUUUGUGAAGUUUCCAGCCUUUAUUAUACAUACAUAUAUAUAUAAUUUGUGUUCAUGUCUGUAUAGAGCGAAUGGUAUGUGGAAAAAAACAACAAAAAACUUCAGAACAUAAACUGUUCUUGUUCGGAUCUUUUUCAUCCGGAACCAUAGUGACCAGUUUCGAUUUGGAUACGAGGAUUUGUUAAUCGUUUAAUUGGCUUAAAUAUUUAUAACUCACCAAUGAAGAUAUUUUCAUUUCUUUUUGUAUUGUUUUUGUAGUAAUUUUUUUAGUUUUUUCUUAUGGGAUAUUUUAUCAAUUGAUUUUUUUUUAAAGCCAAAAUGGGUUAGUGCUAAGUUUUGGCCACGAAAGCUUAAAAUAUAGCAUUAUUGAAGUAUUAAAAAAAUUUCUGAUUUUUUUUUUUUUUUAAUAACACUUAUUUUGGUACGGAAAAAUAUUUCCAAUCAUUCGAAUUCAUUAAAAAUAAAAUUAAAAAUAGCUGGAACCUGUUAUUUGUUCACCCCCGUUGGAUGGAGAAUUAUUACGCAACAGUUGGUAAUAAUUUUAUUACGAAAACAUUUUUAAUACGGAAAAGAAAAAAAAUUCUCAAUCAUUCGGGUUUGUAAAACAUCUUGUAGGUAGGUAAACCUCUUGACGUUUUAUUACAAAAACUUAAACUCUUAAUUUUUUGUUGUUGUUGCUAUCGUUUGUAUAUAUGAAAUAAUUUAAAAUUUCUCGCGCGAUUGUAUUUCCAAUGGAUAUUAUAACACCGAACCAUGAAAUAAAUAACGAAGAAAGUGAAUGAAUCAAAUUGUAUGUAUGUAUGAAUGAAUGAACGAAUGAAUGAAUGAAUGUCAGGAAGUUAUUACCAAUUACGAAAUACUUAAUUUCGGUGUUUUUUUUUUUAGUUUUUUUUUCUUUUGUUUUCAUGUGACAGUAAAUGAAAAAUAUUGCUAUUUCAAAUUUUCCAAGUAAUUUUUUAAAGUUUGACCUAAAAGAAAGUACAAGAGACUUUUUAUACGUAUAUGAGUCAUUCUCUAAGUACAUUCUUUAUAAAAAGCUCGAAAAAUUUGUACCGGUAUCUUUACCACGACCACAACCACCAUUUUUGUAAUUAUUAUUAUUAUUGUUUUUGUUAAGGUGGUGAGCUUAGCAGAAUCGUUAGCGCACUGGGCAAAAAUUGCAUAAUAGCGUUUUGUCUGUCUUUACUUUCUGAGUUCAAUUUCUGCCGAGGUCAACUUUGCCUUCCAUCCCUUUCGGGGUCGAUAAAAUAAGUACCAGUCGAGAACCAGAGUUGAUGUAAUCGACUAGUCACCUACCCCAAAAUUCUGUCUAUAGUAGAAAAGAUUUUUAUUAUUGUGAUUGUAUUUACAAACUAUAUUUAAUUAUUUUUAUGUUUACAAACCCAAACAAACUUCUGUAGUUAACCAUUGCUUUUUGCUUCUUAAUAUGUGCAUGUGCUCUUGUUAUUGUUGUAUGUUCAAGGUUGGUCAGUCAUCUUGCAGAUUUAUAAUUAAAAAAAGGCUCUUCAACCGUAAUCAUUCCGUCUGUAUAUUUUUUUAGACAUAAUCUUUCUUAGGACUUCAUUAUCAAACGUCUUUUUUUUUUUUUUCAAGACGGUAUGAUAUAAAUUUGAGACUAACCUCCUAAUUCUUAUGUUGAGCGAAUGAGUGACUUGUGUUCUUAUGCGUAUUUAAAAUUGUGGAUGAAUCAGAUAGCUAUUGUAUUAGAUAAAUUGAUAGAACACCAUGUCCACCCACAGUCCCACAGGUGUGCGUGUGUGGCGGGAAACGACAUUAACUUGACAAUAUGGUCCCUCUUUUCCGUUUGUUUAUUUUUCAUUAUUUUUCUUGUUCCUACUUUUAAACGAGCCCCGUCAAUCAAAACCUUAAAUUGAAAAUUUCACUUUUCACUUAGUCCCGAAAGAUAACUGGUCCUUUGUUUAUUUUUAUUUUCCUUGAAAAUAUUUUGAACGAGAAACAGUUUUAAAAAUGAGUAAAUAAAAAUUUAGGAUUACGUUUC